AGAUUAAUUGUCCGUUUCCAUUUGAGUUUGACACCAUUGUCCUACGGCAUCCUAUUUUGCCCUUGAAGAUUCUGAUGUUUGGGAUACCCCUCCUUACAUGAAACAAAGGGAAGGCCAUGGAGCAUGGUGGAUAGAGAGCUGACCUUGGGACCAGGAAAGUAAAUCAGCAGAUAUGUGCCUGGGGUGAAGGACCGUCAAUUCAUCUGUGGAGGGGUGGCUGUGUCACCCCUGGAAUGCUUCAAGACUGCAAUGAGAAAGGCAGCAAGACCUCUCCUGCAUUGACAAAUGAUGACAAGGUGGACAAUGGAGGAACAUAGAACCUGUACUCUGGGGACUCUGGCAUUCCAGAGGAAAACUUUCC
rnacentral:lncRNA from 1 species